GCUACUCCAACGUGGAUAGUGAUUCACUUUGCAGAAUGAUGUGAGAGCAGGGCACAGGUGCGUUUGCACAACUCUUUCAGUUCCAUCAGGAGCACCCUUCAGCAGGCAAAACAUGUCUGUUGUCACCGGGGUUGGGGGAGGGAGUAAGUAUAUUUGGGAACUAGCACCCUUGGGUAGUAUAAAGGAGCAUGGUUCACAUUGUCUGAAAUUGCUCAUGCCCUGGUUCAUCCAGCUGGUAAUGAAGCAGUCAACAUCCCAUCUCUGGUGUGGAAUAGGCAAUUAUUCCAGCUUGAAACUCUGCCCUUGCAAAUUGAGUGUGGCAACAAUUCACAUUGGCUGUCAUUACAAAGUCUCUCAAAACAGGGUAGCUAUCCGUAUCAGAUCACAAGGAAAAAUCAGAGAUGCCUAAAAAGUUUACCUUAAUUCCAAAUAGAUUAUCGUGUGGGCUGAUGAUAUGGAUAUUUAAGCUGCUUUCGAGGAGACCUUUUUGUUCAGUUUUAUUCUUCGAUCUUACUCCAAAUUGCUCCAAAUAAAUCUAAAAUCCUAGUCACGUAGAAUAUUUCUGUAGAGUCUCAUUAACCAAAACCUCCUGUCUUGCAAUACAGUUAGAGAAUAAAAACAUCUCUCAUUUCCGUCUAGUUACAUUUUAAGGCUGUUACAAGAAAUCAAGAAAAGAACAAACUCCUCUGGGAAUUUGAACCUUAGAUGUGCAAGUAAAACGUUUGUACUUAGACCUCUCAAAGCCAGCUCAUGUAUGUAUCUUCUGGGGAGCUCUCAAAAUAGUAUCUGCGCCUGGGCCCCACCCUAUACCAAUUAAAUCAGAACUUCUGCACCUCAGAUGAUUCUAGAAUGUUCAAGUUAAGCACUAGUAAAAAUUUAACAGGCGUACACAUCACCUGGGCUUCCCUGAUGGCUCAGAGGUUAAAGCGUCUGCCUCCAAUGAGGAAGACUUGGGUUCUAUCCCUGGGUCAGGAAGAUCCCGUGGAGAAGGAAAUGGCAACCCACUCCAGUAUUCUUGCCUGGAGAAUCCCAUGGACAUAGGAGCCUGGUAGGCUACAGUCCACAGGGUCGCAAAGAGUUGGACACGACUGUUUCAACUA
ensembl:lncRNA